rnacentral:rRNA from 1 species
UACGAAGGGGGCUAGCGUUGCUCGGAAUCACUGGGCGUAAAGCGCACGUAGGCGGAUUGUUAAGUCAGGGGUGAAAUCCUGGAGCUCAACUCCAGAACUGCCUUUGAUACUGGCGAUCUCGAGUCCGGGAGAGGUGAGUGGAACUGCGAGUGUAGAGGUGAAAUUCGUAGAUAUUCGCAAGAACACCAGUGGCGAAGGCGGCUCACUGGCCCGGUACUGACGCUGAGGUGCGAAAGCGA